CGGGAGCCCGGGAGGCGGAGGCGGGCGGAGGCGGGCGGAGGGAGGUGGCGGCGGCGCGCGGAGACGCAGUAGCGACAGCGGCAGCAUGUCGGCCGGCGGAGCGCCAGUCCCGCCGCCCGCGAACCCCGCCGUGUCCUUCCCGGCGCCACGGGUCACCCUGCCCGUCGGCCCCGACAUCCUGCGGACCUACUCGGGCGCCUUCGUCUGCCUGGAGAUUGUGCUUGGGGCACUCGUGUGGAUCCUGGUCGCCUCCUCCAAUGUUCCUCUACCUCUGCUGCAAGGAUGGGUCAUGUUCGUGUCCGUGACGGCUUUCAUCUGUUCCCUCCUCUUCCUGGGCGUGUUCCUCUCUGGCGUGGUGACUCAGAUUAAUGCCAACUGGAACUUCCUGGAUCUCGCUUACCAUUUUACAGUGUUCGUCUUCUACUUUGGAGCCUUUUUGCUGGAAGUAGCUGCCACAUCGCUGCACGAUCUACGUUGCAAUCGAACCAUGGCUGUGCAGCCGCUCUUGAACGAUAACCAGUAUAACAUCAACGUGGCAGCCACAAAAAUGCCUAGAUCAGAGAUGUAUCAGAGAGACAACCAGCAGAAGAAGGGUGGGGAUAAUAGCAGAAUGCUCUAAGGUCACUUUCCAUUGUCACAGAAAUGAUUUGCUACAUCCUCAAGUCCUGAUAGCUGCCCUUUUCUUGGCUGUGAGAUCACUGUGCAAAUAGACAUCUCCUCGUGAAGUUUUGAAUAUGUACCAUGUUAGGGGUUUCACCACUGCUUAACAAAUUUUUGCCUUUGUGACGACAGCUUGUUACGGUUGCAGUUUGGGUCUGGCCUUACGACGAUGGCGACCGUAACACCCCUUACAAACUCGCUGCCUGUGUGUUAGUUUCAUUUGUGUACUUUUUAUGUCUCAUCAAUUUGGAUACCAUUUUGUCCAGAUAUAACAACAUCCCCAAAGUAAUUUGUUUAGUAUAUGGAGAGAAUCUUAAGUAUGAGUUCUGGUUCAUUUCAUGGAUGGAAUUUUAAUUUCAGUAUGAUGUUAAACAGAGAAAUAGCCUUUAGUUUUACAUCUGUCUCUUUCUCUUUUUCUUAUUUUAAAGAAAAUUUCCCUUUACAUCCAUAAAAUACACAGAUAUUGUUCAUGAAAAAAAGGGGUAUCUCUUGUGUUUAGUUACUGAGUCACCUGAACCUUAAUUUUAAUAGGUAACUAAAACUCCUGAAGAAAAACACAUUUCAAAUAAACUUCCCACUGAACUCUGUGUGUUAGUGUAAAACAGAGAUCGACACUCUUUAAAGGUCCAGAUGGUAAAUGUUUUAGGCUUUGUGGGCCAUUCAGUCUCUGUCACAACUACUCACCUCUGCUGUUACUACAUGAAAGCAGCCCUAGACAGUAAGUAGAUGAGUGAGUGUAGCUGUGUUCCAAUAAAUUUUUAUUUACAAAACCGGCAGCAGGCUGGAUUUGGCCUGCGGGCUGCAGGCUGUCGUUUGCGGACCUCUGGUGUAAAACCUUGGUUAUGGGUUCUGUAUUUUAUUGAACUGAUCCUGAAAGGUAUAAAGCGAAUUAGAGAAGCCACAUAGUAUUCAGUCUCGUGCAGUAAUUACAUUGCCUUUAGGUUAAUGGUCAAAUACUUACCCUUGAAGGGGCUAUAGUUUCUCAAGCUAAUUCAAGCAGAGUCUUGGGUACAGGAAAAAGUAAUUUAUGAAGUGAACCCUAGUUGCUUAAUCCACCUAAGUGUUUCCUAACAACUGAGCAAAAUGCUCAUCUGGCGUCCUUAAAAUGAGAGCCCCAGAGACCACUAACCACUCCUGGAACUGGUAUCUAGCUCCUGAUGUCUUACUGUGGGUUUAUUUAUGCUUCAAAUGCAGCUGUUUACCCUGUGCAUGAAUAUACAGAUAUUUAUGUGUGGAUAUGUGAGGCUUUACCCAGUAGACCUCUCCAAAGGGUGAACUUUUUACUUCUGAUUCUUUUACAUGACUCUGAGUUAAAUUUGAAUAGAGUACGAAAUAUAACUUCAAGUUGUAGAUCCUCACGUGUUUAGAGAACAGUCCUGACAUCUAUUGAAUAUGAAUAGCACAGAAAAGUAUUUUAACCCUCCUCAGAGACCCUGGUCGUGGUAACAUGCCAAAAAUGGCUUGAAGGGGAGAACAAGUUAGAGUUAGGCCCCCAGCUCACACCACCCGUCCAGACAAGAUACUUAUCUCUUGCCUCAAGAGGGCUACCUCUGGGAAAAGAGGACUUUUGAAUAUUUUAUACUUUCAACCCUUUGCUUUUUGGCUAAAUCAUCCACUACAAGUGCCAUGUAUAAGCUGGGCUGUUAGAUUUCAUGGAACAUAGAACAAUCCUGAAUGAGUAGCAUAAUCAAUGCUCAAUGAUCAAAUCCUGUUUAUGCGAUAAUCCCUUAGAAAGAAGAAUCUGAUUAGGGUUUGGUUUGUGAUGUAACUACAGAGAUAAAAGGUAUAUUUACUAUGCGGCAAGAGGAUAUCAGUCUUGUGACUUUAUACUGAUGUCAUAGCUUUUCUAUAAUAUCCAACUUCCCUGGUUUUUCUAGCUCCAUGCCACACUCUUAACCCUGAAUUAUGAAUUGUAUAUUACAGAGUCAUAUAUGUGCCAUAAGGAUAUAUUGUCCAUUCCGGCUGGAAUUGUUAAAAGUUAACCUGCUAGAUUUAGUCGUGAGAUUGUAUUUUUGUUUCCAAGGUAUAACAGGUCCAUGCUUGGUGGCAUUAAAUUAAAUGAUCUCAUGAAACUGCUUUGGUGACACUUUUGUAAAUGGAUUGCUUCUAGAACAUUAAGAACCAAGCCUAAAACUCAUCUAACUGUGAAUACUUAGAAUUGUAAAUUAAUCACGAUCUAGAUUUGUGAGUUGACUGACAAAGCACUUGAACAAAAAUGACGGCAUUUGAGAAUUUCUUUAUAUAUCUUAGCUGUAAAAAUGAGGAAGCGUUGGUUGGUUUUAAAAUCUGGUAACUCCAUGAUGAAAAGAAAUUUAUUUUAUAAGUGUUAUGACUCUAAUAAAGU